AGUUUUUUGAAUCCGUGCUGAGAUUUCGUCAGACACCAACCUAUUCGGGCUGUUCAGACUACCAAGAUAAGUGAAAUU
rnacentral:pre_miRNA from 1 species